rnacentral:rRNA from 1 species
AUUGAACGCUGGCGGCAGGCCUAACACAUGCAAGUCGAGCGGAUGAAGGGAGCUUGCUCCUGGAUUCAGCGGCGGACGGGUGAGUAAUGCCUAGGAAUCUGCCUGGUAGUGUGGGAUAACGUCCGGAAACGGGCGCUAAUACCGCAUACGUCCUGAGGUAGAAAGUGGGGGAUCUUCGGACCUCACGCUAUCAGAUGAGCCUAGGUCGGAUUAGCUAGUUGGUGGGGUAAAGGCCUACCAAGGCGACGAUCCGUAACUGGUCUGAGAGGAUGAUCAGUCACGCGAGAGCUGAGACACGUACCAGGAUCCUACGGGGGGCAGCACGGGGAAGUAUGGGAGAAGGGGGGAAUGCUGCACCAGGCCAGCCAGCUUGAGGCAGCAAGGCCUCGGGGUGGAAAACCGCUUUAGGUUGGAGGAAGGGCAGUAAGUUAAUACCUGGCUGUUUUGACGUUACCAACAGAAUAAGCACCGGCUAACUUCGUG